rnacentral:rRNA from 1 species
UACGAAGGGUGCUAGCGUUGUUCGGAAUCACUGGGCGUAAAGCGCGCGUAGGCGGCUUUCCAAGUCAGGGGUGAAAUCCUGGGGCUUAACCCCAGAAUUGCCUUUGAAACUGGAGAGCUAGAGUACUGGAGGGGUUGGCGGAAUUCCUAAUGUAGAGGUGAAAUUCGUAGAUAUUAGGAAGAACACCGGUGGCGAAGGCGGCCCACUGGAUCGGUACUGACGCUGAGGUGCGAAAGCGUGGGGAGCAAACAGG